GGCUAUGAGACAGAAGAAUGACAGUUCUGGUUUCCCAGAUAAGAGCCAUACCCCUCCCGAGGUUCCAGAAUUGGGGGGUGAGGGUCGCACCUCAGGGUCUGGCCAGACUGAAGGGUUGUGAUGAACCCCAAAGAUGCUGAUGAUACAGUCGUUCCCUUUGGACAAGAAGGGGCAGACAAGAGGAAGUCAGCGCUGCUACUGGGGACAACCAGGAGCCAACCACCUCCGCAUAAAGUCCACACCUUUGGGGAUGACCCGGCCAUCGGGAAGCACAAUGUCUUUGGUGCAACAGCGAGAGAUGGAGAUAACUGGAGGGUGCAGCCGCAGACUCUCCUUGAUGCACAUGGUGAGGAAGGGCAGCUGGGCCAGGUCGUCCCUGAGGAACACGCCACACAGUUAUCCAGGGAGUAAUAACAGCACCCGGGAUUGCUAGGUGACUUAGCAGUAGAGGACUAGCACCCAUGCUUGACGACCUCAAUUCAACCAGACCACAUAAGGAGACAGGAGAGAACCAACGCUCAAGAGCUGGCUUCUAACUUCCACACAUGUACCGUGGACUGCAUGUACACACACACACACACACACACACACACACACACACACACACACACACACGUAAAUGCAUACAUAGUAGUGACCAGCCUCACCGCCACUUGUGGAAACCCUAACUGCCUCCCUGUGACCGGGCAGUUGAAAUGCGAUCAGGCAGUUUCCUGCUUCAUCGGGCUGCUGCCAUGCCUUCCUUGACAGCACGGACUUCUUAUUUUAGAACUGUAACCCCAAAUCUACUGUUCCUUCUAGAAGAUCCUAGUGUUUUCUAACAGUGACAGAAAGGUGCUGGAUCCCGUGUAAGGAAGAAGCCUUGGGGCAGAGGACAGAAGACAGCAAGAGAUCCAAUGUGGAAAGUUCAGGAGAAGCAGGACCAGAAGUGGACACUAAGGGCUCACAGGGAAAUCAGGGGAGACCGGUGAAGUGUCAUCCUAGAGCAAUGAAAAGAGACUCUUGGAAGAACGUUAGACACAGAACAGCAGAGAGCUGUGGAGAGAAAGCCAACGGGACUGGGAUGUCACCUGGGUGACAAGAAUAAGAAGCAGGUAGAGAGAGGGGGCAAUGGAUGAAGACUCUUUGCCCCUGAGGCUACGACACAAUGAGCAGGCUGGAGAAGUGCAGCAGUGGGGUGAUGGGGGUGAGUGGACUGGAGCUUACAUGGCAUCUAACUGUCCAUUAUCACUGUGAUCAAGACAUCAGAAAACAUGGGUGGUUACAUUCAUCCACGGCCAAGGUUUUCCAAUGACUGUCAAGGGAAACACCAUCAACAGGAACUUCAGAAUUGAACGCUGAUGGAAAACUAAACCAGAUGUGCUCGAGAGAGUGAGGUGGUUGCUCUUUCUUUCCAACCUGGCCAGAUCUGGAUUAACUAAGAGUUGUAUCUCUGGCUGAGUCUAUAGACCUGUUUCCAGGAAGAAUUAACCAGGAGAAGAUUCUUCCUCAGAAAGGGAAGCACUUUCCAGCAAGUGCCCCAGAUAGAAAAAGGUUCAAAGGGGGAAAGAAGUGACUUAAUUACCUUUUGGUAAGUGUAUCUAUCCUUUAUUGAUAUCAGACUGCAGCAUCUUUGAACUUCAGUGUGGACCAGAAACUUUCCCUGAGUUUUUUUUAAGUCUUCCCCAGUAAAUUUAGACUCCUGCUAAGGAUCCAGCUCGGUGAGCUGAGCAGCUCCUGGGCUCUCAGCCUGUCUGCUGUGCAGACAAUCAUUUCAGGUCUACCCAGCUCCUACUGGUUGAGAGUCAUUCCACUAAGUCUCUGUUCACACAGAAAUACUGUGUAGUGAGUCUGUUCCUGUAGAGAACCUUGACUAAUCCAAACUGUGGUGCCGGGAGUGGUUCUAAAGACCAAAGUGGACAAGGUGUCAGGAAAGCAAGUCAUAAAUAGGCUCAACAACACAAGCUUCACUCACCAAUGCUGACCUGCUUAUGGCUGCCAUUGAGUGACAGAUCUACCAGCAGCAGAGACCAACACUGAGAUUCCAAUAUGACACCAUUCCCAGAGGAGAUCAGCUAGUGACCUGAGAAGGUUGACUACCCUGAACCACUUCCAUCAUGGAAUGGACAGUGCCUUUUCCAUACUGAAAUAGAUACUUCCUCUAGUUAUGAAAUUGCCAUUCUGUGUGUAACGCUUCUGCCAAAGCUACCAUCUAUUCAUUUACAAAAUGGUAUCCCACGUAAUUCUGCUGCUAACAAAGGAACGCACUUCACAGCCAUGGAAAUGAGGCAGUGGGCUCAUGAUUAUGAAAUUUAGUGGUCUUACCAUCCCCCAUCAUCCUGAAAUAGAUGAUGAAAGAAGGGUAGAAUGGCCUUUUAAUGGCACAGUGACAGUGAAAUGGAUGGAAAGAAUUUGGACAGCUGGAAAAGUUUUUCCAGAAGGCUAUCUAUGCUCUGAAUCUGUGUCCGAUAGAUGGCAUUGUUUCUUUUAUGACCAGGGAUUUAGUUAAGGAAUCAAGCAAGAGCAGAAAUGAGAAUGUUGCCACCUCUAGUGGCCCACUAGCAAAAUGUUUUCUUCCUUGUUCACACAACUUUAUGUUCUCCUGAUUUACAUGACUUGGUUCCAGAUGGGAGGCUGCUUCUGCCAAGAGAUAUGAAAAAUAUCCAUUGAGUCGGAAGCUAAUUGGCCAAUUUGGGUUCCUCAUUCCUUUGAAUCAACAGGCUAAGAUAAGUGUGAGAGUGUUAACAGGGGUGACUGAUCCAAACUUCCAGAGGAAAAGUAGGUGGCCAGUUUAUCCACAAUAGAAGGAAAGCUAUGCCUGCACUGCAGGAGAUCUUUUAGGGUAUCUCUUGGUGUUACCAUGUCCUGUGGUUAAAGUCAAUGGGAAACUCCAACAAUCCAAUCCAGACAAGAUUGUAAUGAUAUAUUAUUAAUGAUUUAUUAAAGCUUGCCUAAGGAUUCAGAAAGCAAAGUCAGCCUCAAGCUAUAGAGAUCAGACAGUGGUGACACACACCUUUAAUCCCAGC